rnacentral:rRNA from 1 species
UACGAAGGGGGCUAGCGUUGUUCGGAAUUACUGGGCGUAAAGCGAACGUAGGCGGUGUUGCAUGUCAGAGGUGAAAGCCUGGGGCUCAACUCCAGAAUUGCCUUUGAAACGGGGACGCUUGAGUCCGAGAGAGGGUGGCGGAAUUCCUAGUGUAGAGGUGAAAUUCGUAGAUAUUAGGAAGAACACCAGUGGCGAAGGCGGCCACCUGGCUCGGUACUGACGCUCAGGUUCGAAAGCGUGGGGAGCAAACAGG